CCUACGGGAGGCAGCAGUGGGGAAUAUUGGACAAUGGGCGAAAGCCUGAUCCAGCAAUGCCGCGUGAGUGAUGAAGGCCUUAGGGUUGUAAAGCUCUUUUACCCGAGAUGAUAAUGACAGUAUCGGGAGAAUAAGCUCCGGCUAACUCCGUGCCAGCAGCCGCGGUAAUACGGAGGGAGCUAGCGUUGUUCGGAAUUACUGGGCGUAAAGCGCACGUAGGCGGCUUUUUAGGUCAGGGGUGAAAUCCCGGGGCUCAACCCCGGAACUGCCCUUGAAACUGGGAAGCUAGAAUCUUGGAGAGGCGAGUGGAAUUCCGAGUGUAGAGGUGAAAUUCGUAGAUAUUCGGAAGAACACCAGUGGCGAAGGCGACUCGCUGGACAAGUAUUGACGCUGAGGUGCGAAAGCGUGGGGAGCAAACAGGAUUAGAUACCCCGGUAGUCCACGCCGUAAACGAUGAUAACUAGCUGUCCGGGUUCAUGGAACUUGGGUGGCGCAGCUAACGCAUUAAGUUAUCCGCCUGGGGAGUACGGUCGCAAGNUUAAAACUCAAAUGAAUUGACGG
rnacentral:rRNA from 1 species